rnacentral:rRNA from 1 species
GUCCACGCCGUAAACUAUGAUUACUCGAUAUUGGCGAUAUACGGUCAGUGUCUAAGCGAAAGUGAUAAGUAAUCCACCUGGGGAGUACGGUCGCAAGAUUGAAACUCAAAGGAAUUGACGGGGGCCCGCACAAGCGGUGGAGCAUGUGGUUUAAUUCGAUGAUACGCGAGGAACCUUACCAGGACUUGAAUGCAUUUUGACAGAUUGAGAAAUCAGUCGUUCUUCGGACAAUUUGCAAGGUGCUGCAUGGCUGUCGU